UCAGGAGAACCAGACGCUUAUUAUGUUGAUUCGGACUGUGUUUGCCAGAGAUGUUGGUCAAGUUCUGAAAAAUUAGUUGACACCGUUUCCUACUGGAAAUUAAGGAGAACCAAAUGCUUAUUACGUUGUUGAGAAUUGUGUUUGUCAGAGAUGUUGGUCAAGUUCUGAAAAAUUAGUUGACGCGCCCUGCUACUGGAAAUUAAGGUACCUUUGUGAGAAAGUGAUUUGACACUCUUAUUUAUCAAUGCCAACAAUACUAUGAAGAAUAAAUAAAACAAUAUACAAGUGA
rnacentral:sRNA from 1 species